GUCUACGGUCAUGCCACCCUGAACAUGCCCGAUCUUGUCUGAUCUCGGAAGCUAAGCAGGGUCGAGCUUGGUUAGUACUUGGAUGGGAGACCACCUAGGAAGACCAGGUGCGGCAGGCA
rnacentral:rRNA from 1 species